rnacentral:rRNA from 1 species
UUACGGCGGCUAUAGCGGUGGGGAAACGCCCGGUCCCAUUCCGAACCCGGAAGCUAAGGCCACCAGCGCCGAUGGUACUGCACUCGACAGGGUGUGGGAGAGUAGGACACCGCCGGAACAUCC